GACGAACGCUGGCGGCGUGCUUAACACAUGCAAGUCGAACGGAAAGGCCCUGCUUUUGUGGGGUGCUCGAGUGGCGAACGGGUGAGUAACACGUGAGUAACCUGCCCUUGACUUUGGGAUAACUUCAGGAAACUGGGGCUAAUACCGGAUAGGAGCUCCUGCUGCAUGGUGGGGGUUGGAAAGUUUCGGCGGUUGGGGAUGGACUCGCGGCUUAUCAGCUUGUUGGUGGGGUAGUUGCUUACCAAGGCUUUGACGGGUAGCCGGCCUGAGAGGGUGACCGGCCACAUUGGGACUGAGAUACGGCCCAGACGCCUACGGGAGGCAGCAGUGGGGAAUAUUGCACAAUGGGCGGAAGCCUGAUGCAGCAACGCCGCGUGCGGGAUGACGGCCUUCGGGUUGUAAACCGCUUUCGCCUGUGACGAAGCGUGAGUGACGGUAAUGGGUAAAGAAGCACCGGCUAACUACGUG
rnacentral:rRNA from 1 species